AUGCUCUCUCCAACAGCACAUAUACUAAAACUGAAAUGAUAUAGAGAAGACAAGCAUGGCCCCUUGGCAGGAUGACACAUAAAUUCAUCAAGUGUUCCAUAUUUAU
ensembl:snRNA U6 U6 spliceosomal RNA